GGACUACUGGGGUAUCUAAUCCUGUUUGCUCCCCUAGCUUUCGUGCCUCAGUGUCAGGAGUCGUCCAGAGACUCGCUUUCGCCACUGGUGUUCCUCUCGAUCUCUACGCAUUUCACCGCUACACCGAGAAUUCCAGUCUCCCUUCCGACCCUCUAGCCAAGUAGUAUUUAGUGCCGUUUCCGAGUUGAGCUCGGAGAUUUCACACCAAACUUACCUUGCCACCUACGCACCCUUUACGCCCAGUGAAUCCGAACAACGCUUGGGACCUCUGUAUUACCGCGGCUGCUGGCAC
rnacentral:rRNA from 1 species